UGGGGAAUAUUGGACAAUGGGGGGAAACCCUGAUCCAGCCAUGCCGCGUGUGUGAAGAAGGCCUUCGGGUUGUAAAGCACUUUCAGCGAGGAAGAACGCCUAGUGGUUAAUACCCAUUAGGAAAGACAUCACUCGCAGAAGAAGCACCGGCUAACUCCGUGCCAGCAGCCGCGGUAAUACGGAGGGUGCAAGCGUUAAUCGGAAUUACUGGGCGUAAAGCGCGCGUAGGUGGCUUGAUAAGCCGGUUGUGAAAGCCCCGGGCUCAACCUGGGAACGGCAUCCGGAACUGUCAAGCUAGAGUGCAGGAGAGGAAGGUAGAAUUCCCGGUGUAGCGGUGAAAUGCGUAGAGAUCGGGAGGAAUACCAGUGGCGAAGGCGGCCUUCUGGACUGACACUGACACUGAGGUGCGAAAGCGUGGGUAGCAAACAGGAUUAGAUACCCGCGUAGUCC
rnacentral:rRNA from 1 species